GGGGACUAUUGCUAGGCUAGGAGCCCUAAGUGUCUUCUUCCUCAUGUCUCUUCUCCCCUGUCUCAUGGGCCCUAAGAUCUCUUUCACUGGGCCUGCCUCAAUGAACGUGCUGCCCAGCUACCCCGAAACACGGCACCUGCCGGCUAUCAGUGCCCCAGCUGCAAUGGCCCCAUCUUCCCCCCAACCAACCUGGCUGGCCCUGUGGCCUCCGCACUGAGAGAGAAGCUGGCCACAGUCAACUGGGCCCGGGCAGGACUGGGCCUCCCUCUGAUCGAUGAGGUGGUGAGCCCAGAGCCCGAGCCCCUCAACACGUCUGACUUCUCUGACUGGUCUAGCUUUAAUGCCAGCAGUACCCCUGGACCAGAGGAGGUAGACGGCGCCUCUGCUGCCCCAGCCUUCUACAGCCAGGCCCCCCGGCCCCCAGCUUCCCCAGGCCGGCCCGAGCAGCACACAGUGAUCCACAUGGGCAAUCCUGAGCCCUUGACUCACGCCCCUAGGAAGGUGUAUGAUACGCGGGAUGAUGACCGGACACCAGGCCUCCAUGGAGACUGUGACGAUGACAAGUACCGACGUCGGCCGGCCUUGGGUUGG
rnacentral:sRNA from 1 species